rfam:Dipodomys ordii contig_58289, whole genome shotgun sequence.
GGUGGCUCAGUGGUAGAGUGCUUGCCUGGCAUGCAUGAGGUCCUGGGUUCGAUUCCUCAGCACCA